AUGCCCAGUGGUAGCAGCCGUAGGGAGUCUUCAGCUGCACCCGGUAGAUUGCGACGGCCUGUCGUGGAUGUGUUCGCGGGGAAGGCUGCGUUGCCGAGGAGCACGAACGCAGGGCAGAGGUGGAAGAGCAGAACCUUGCGAAUACGGCACUCGGUGAACACUUCCGGUACGGCAGCGUAUUUGGUCGAAUGUACCACGGGCAUGCCCCUGACCGAUGAGUACGAUCUGAGUGUUAUGAUGCGUGCUGCAGAGGCACCUCUGACGCUCUCUCGACCAGUCUCAGCACAUUCAACGCCGUCGCCGAAGGGGAACGGAGCCAUGCCGACGCCACAUCCAAGCUUCUUAGAUAUCGUAAGCGCCGACAGCUCCCCCUUCAGGCUGAGUCGAGCCAGCGCGCCGGGCCCGACCAGCUUACCAGAGCUGUCAACCACUGAAAGUCUCGAACAGAUUUCUCGCCAAAGCAGACAGCCAACCGACAGUCGGCGUGACAGCCUUGCUCGCACCCCGCUCCACCGCCCCCAAAGCCGAAAAGGGACGUUGUUCGGCAGCGAGUCCAGCGAUACGGAUUUCCAGUACCUCUGCACAUCAGACGAAAAUGCACUGUACAGCUUCUACGCCAUCAGCUACAACACCAUGGACCCCUUUCUCAAAGGCGCGGAAGACACAGUAAGGUGCAGCGCACACGAAGAGAACCACAGGCAACUCUCUACAACAUCCCACAGGCGUCCUGUGCAAGCCAUGACGGUGGUAGUGAAAAGACCUACGUUAGCCCAAAUACGCGUGGGGAUACGGAGAAUGCUGACUCCGAUGGUCAUGGUGACGACG